UGUGUGUGUGUGUGUGUGUGUGUGUGUGUGUGUGUGUGUUGUCUGUGAGUAUGACAUUAUUGCACCUUCUGUUUCUUCUCUUUCUGCUCUUUGGCUUCCUGGUCAACAUGAAGUGAGCAUCAUUUCUUCAGUACACACUCCCCAUCACUUCCUGCCAUAGAGGUCAAGAAGCAUGAGCCAACUGACCCUUGAAUGAAGCCUCUGAAAUGGCCAUGAUAACUGAGAAUACUAUGUCAGAAGGGCUGAAGAGAAGAGAAUUACUCCCCUGAUCAGAUCAUGACACCGGAAAAGCAGAGGCAGGAAAGGGAGUCAUUGAUCCGGUUCAAGGCCCCCACCAGGACUCUUCCUGAACAUCCCACUCCACUGUGUGUUGAGGAGAUCCUUUGGCUUUGGGUCUGCAGAUCAGGACCUGCUCUCCUGAGUGUUGCAGCUGGGAUCACCAGGUAGUAAAAGGACACCAUUCCUAGAUUCCAGGAAGAGCAGCUUCAAACCUCACUGCUGUGAAGAGGUGAACUUCGUGUUUAACUUUCUUGGCUUCUCCUGUGCUCAUGUGUGUGGACAAGGCUCUUUGCUCUCUACAGUGAAAAGCAGAAGAAGGAGAUUUAUUUAAUGUGGCCACAUGGGGAAGAGGACCCAGUAACUAUCCUGCCACCCUGUCAUCUCUGGAGUGUAAGAAAGAUGUUUAACUAGGUAGUCCAGCCAAGGUGUGACUCCCUGUCCACCAUUCCCUCAUCUCCAAGUCUUUCCGGUAGAGCCUCGAAUGUAUGAACAGACCCCUAGUUCCACCAACCACAGGGCCAAGACUGCUUCCAGACAGCAUCUGAGGACAAUAGCAGAGUACCUUCCACUUUGCUAUAAACUCCCACCUGAGGGUUCCUCUGUAUUGUUUUGGAAGCUGUCCUGGAACUCGCUCUGUAGACC